rnacentral:misc_RNA from 1 species
GAUGAACGCUAAUUUCACACUAGUGAAAAACUAAGGACAUGAAUAGAUGGUAAGCACGGGCAAUCAUAUCUGAAUGCUAAUUUCGCUUUUUCCCAAAUUAACUACUAGCUACUUCGAUACAGCAGGAAUGUGAUAUAGAUAUGUGCAUUUAAUAGGAAAUUGAAUAUUUAACUUCUACAAUUUCAGGGCAAGAGUAUUUUAGGAACUGGUUAUACAAGGCAGAGUAGCAUCAC